rnacentral:tRNA from 1 species
ACGUCCCAUUGCAUGGUAAGCAAGUGCUCCUGCCUUCUAAGCGAGCGGUCAGAGGUUCGAGUCCUCUAGGACGCGCCA